ensembl:lncRNA
CAUUCAGAGAUGCUUGACAUCCAAGUGUCAGUAAAUUAAUACAUUUAUGUUAACAUGGAAGGAAUUGACAAAUGAAUGUUAAAUUGAUACAUAAAACAAUGAGUAGGGGGUUGGGGAUUUAGCUCAGUGGUAGAGCGCUUGCCUAGCAAGCACAAGGCCCUGGGUUCGGUCCCCAGCUCCGAAAAAAAAAAAAAAAAAAAAAAAAAAACAAUGAGUAGGCUUGCCCUAUUAAAUUUUCUUAAAUUUGUGAAUUGUUGUGAAUAAUUAUUUCAUUAAAAACAAUGAUGGACAAGCAGGCAAGUUAAGCUUUUCCAUUCCUGGGUCUUAAGUCAUAAUGCUUCUAAUGGGCAUCCAUUAUUAGAAUCACAGAAUUUGUUCUACAAGCCAAAGGUGCCUUUCAUAGUAUUGAAAUUGUGAGAAGCAGUCGGACAGAGAUUUGUACAGGUGAAGAACCUACCUUUAUCUAGUUGUCAAGUAUCCUCUGGAGCAAUAGAAUUUGGAGGCUCUGCAACAGUGAAGGCCAGGCUCUGUCUCACUCUGAAGCUGCAGCUGGUUCAAUUCAAGUUCUCUGAUUUCUG